rnacentral:tmRNA from 1 species
GGGGGUGUUUAUGGAUUCGACGGGGAUAGUUCGAGCAUGGGUAGCGGGUAGUGGGGAGCGUCCGCUUCAUCAACGCUAAAGCCAAUUAAACGGCAAACAACAACAACCAACUCUGGCUCUGGCCGCCUAAUAACGGUCUCCAGGCUUCUACUCUCCAUCGCCCAUGUGGCGGGAUAGGGGCUCAACUCUAGUGGGAUACGCUGCUACAUCUCCGCCUGGGGUGUGCUGAAGAAGACAAUCAGGCUGACCCAAAGCAUAGCCGGUUACGGGGCGAUGCUCGGGUGACAUCAAAACUGUGACUACACCCGUAGAAGCCUGUGUGGCGUUAUUUUCGGACAGGGGUUCAACUCCCCUCACCUCCACCA